rnacentral:rRNA from 1 species
UGGGGAAUCUUGCGCAAUGGGCGAAAGCCUGACGCAGCAACGCCGCGUGUGUGAUGAAGGUCUUCGGAUCGUAAAGCACUGUCGCGAGGGACGAAUAAGGGGCGGGCUAACAUCCCGUUCCGAUGACGGUACCUCGAGAGGAAGCACCGGCUAACUCUGUGCCAGCAGCCGCGGUAAUACAGAGGGUGCAAGCGUUGUUCGGAAUUAUUGGGCGUAAAGCGCGUGUAGGCGGCUUUGUAAGUUGGGUGUGAAAGCCCUCGGCUUAACCGAGGAAGUGCGCCCAAAACUGCAUGGCUUGAGUACCGGAGAGGGUGGCGGAAUUCCCGGUGUAGAGGUGAAAUUCGUAGAUAUCGGGAGGAACACCAGCGGCGAAGGCGGCCACCUGGACGGAUACUGACGCUGAGACGCGAAAGCGUGGGGAGCAAACA